rnacentral:rRNA from 1 species
UACGGGGGGAGCAAGCGUUGUUCGGAUUUACUGGGCGUAAAGGGCGCGUAGGCGGCCAGCACAAGUCAGUUGUGAAAUCUCCGAGCUUAACUCGGAACGGUCAACUGAUACUGUGCGGCUAGAGUGCGGAAGGGGCAACUGGAAUUCUUGGUGUAGCGGUGAAAUGCGUAGAUAUCGAGAGGAACACCUGCGGCGAAGGCGGGUUGCUGGGCCGACACUGACGCUGAUGCGCGAAAGCCAGGGGAGCGAACGGG